CCCUUAGAUGUUCUGGGCCGCACGCGCGCUACACUGAUUCAUGCAACAAGUUUUGUCCUUGGCCGACAGGCCCGGGCAAUCUUUGAACGCCGGUCGUGAUGGGGAUAGACUUUUGCAAUUUUUGGUCUUCAACGAGGAAUUCCUAGUAAACGCAAGUCAUCAACUUGCAUUGAUUACGUCCCUGCCCUUUGUACACACCGCCCGUCGCACCUACCGAUUGAAUGGUCCGGUGAAGCCUCCGGAUUGGCGCGCACCUCGGUGCCGCCGAGAAGUUGGCUAAACCUUACCAUUUAGAGGAAGGUGAAGUCGUAACA
rnacentral:rRNA from 1 species